AUACGGAGGAUGCGAGCGUUAUCCGGAUUUAUUGGGUUUAAAGGGAGCGUAGGUGGGAUAUUAAGUCAGCUGUGAAAGUUUGGGGCUCAACCUUAAAAUUGCAGUUGAUACUGGUUUCCUUGAGUACGGUAUAGGUGGGCGGAAUUCGUGGUGUAGCGGUGAAAUGCUUAGAUAUCACGAAGAACUCCGAUCGCGAAGGCAGCUCACCGGGCCGGAACUGACACUGAUGCUCGAAAGUGCGGGUAUCAAACAGGAUUAGAUACCCUGGUAGUCCGCACAGUAAACGAUGAAUACUCGCUGUUUGCGAUACACUGUAAGCGGCCAAGCGAAAGCGUUACGUAUUCCACCUGGGGAGUACGCCGGCAACGGUGAAACUCAAAUGAAUUGACGGGG
rnacentral:rRNA from 1 species